rnacentral:rRNA from 1 species
GACGAACGCUGGCGGCGUGCUUAACACAUGCAAGUCGAACGGAAAGGCCCUGCUUUUGUGGGGUGCUCGAGUGGCGAACGGGUGAGUAACACGUGAGUAACCUGCCCUUGACUUUGGGAUAACUUCAGGAAACUGGGGCUAAUACCGGAUAGGAGCUCCUGCUGCAUGGUGGGGGUUGGAAAGUUUCGGCGGUUGGGGAUGGACUCGCGGCUUAUCAGCUUGUUGGUGGGGUAGUGGCUUACCAAGGCUUUGACGGGUAGCCGGCCUGAGAGGGUGACCGGCCACAUUGGGACUGAGAUACGGCCCAGAGUCCUACGGGAGGCAGAAGUGGGGAAUAUUGCCCAAUGGGCGGAAGCCUGAUGCAGCAACGCCGCGUGCGGGAUGACGGCCUUCGGGUUGUAAACCGCUUUCGCCUGUGACGAAGCGUGAGUGACGGUAAUGGGUAAAGAAGCACCGGCUAACUACGUG